rnacentral:lncRNA from 1 species
GGUAAGAUCCUGGCCCAAGCUGGCCCAAAGCACCACUCACUGGCUACUGGGACUGGUUGAGGGAGUGGAAACCUGACCAAGGCCCUACCCCAGGCCAUUCCAGAUGGAGUUGAAAGAGAAAACAGUUUUCCUCCAAGUGGCAAGACUGAAAGGGGCAUGUGUGCCCUGUCACCGGCCCCGUCCCCAGCAUCUCCUCCUGCCCUGUCCCCCUCACAGCUCUGGCACUCCAAGUGUCAUCUCAGUGGAAGGGUUUCCUGACUCCUCCCCUGGUGGGGGCUGUCCCUCUUCUGUGCUCCUCCAUCACCCUUGCUAUAACACAUGAUAGGUGUUCAAUCAACAUUUUCUGCAGGGAGAGGGAGGGGAGCAGGGCUGAUACAUUUAUUUUUCAAGGACUUGCAUACUAAUAAGAAUAAAGGUAAUACCACAGAUGCCAGUUCAGAACAAAGAAAUUAUCUGGUCACACUAGGCAGCUUGUCUCUCUUCUGAAUAUAGAGAUAUGUAUAUCAUCUUCUGAAAUCAACUCCUUUUUGCAGAAAUGACUUAUUUGCAUUAAAAAUGACUUAUCCCACAUCGUUCCACAUCAUGUUGCACUUGGUUACCUGCAUACAGCAGUGAAGUACAACAGAACCCCAAUUUUUUAUUACUUUAAAACAAUUUUUUUAGAGACAGGGGUCUCACUAUGUUGCCCAGGCUAGAGUGCAGUGGAUUACCACGACUGAGCAGACUCUGUGGGCGCCCUCAUACCACAUGCUGCAGGCAACCACAGCUAGGAUCUUCCUUUUCCUUUCUCCCUUACCGCUGGCACCCAGGACCACAAAAUUCAUUAAAGAAAUGUUUCUCACUGCUUGUGAAUUUGUUUUCCUUUCAGGCAAUGUGAUGACAGGCUAGGUUCUUAUGCUUUAACAGCCCAUCAUGGGAAUUUUUAACUUAAGCAAUUAUAAAAUAAAAAUGUACUGACGCUAAAGAUUCAUUUAUAAACCUGUCGCUUUAAUCUUUCUUCAUGACUUGUUGGUGUAAUUAGGCAGCUAUAUAGUCACAUAAAAUUUCACGGAAAAAUUAUAUGCUUACUAGUUGUUGGUCAUGAAACAACUUAUAACAUUGGACUUCACGUUUAUUCUCAGACUAAAAAUCUAAAUGAUAGCGAAAUUUAAUAAAACUUCUUGGAAGGCUUACAGAUAAUUUUUACUUUGUAAAGCAUGUGCAUGCUUUGUAAAGCUUUCUCAUGCUUCAGUAAAUCAGAAGUAAUGAUGGGGGUACACAUUUUCUUACUUAAAACUUAAUACUGGGAACAAGAGAACUAGCACGUUGCUACAGUCUCAUCAACAACUCUGAAAAGGCAACAAGCCAAUACAAACAAAUACAGUUUUCCAAAAAUACCUGAUAAUACUUCUAAAUUAAGAGCUGACUUCAAGGGAGUGGGGAAUAAGGGGAGAUUUCUUAAAGAAUAUAAAAUUAUAGCUAGACAGACACAUUAAAUUCUAGUGUUCUGUGGAGUGCUCUAUAGUUUAUCAUAUUAAGUAUUUCUCAAUUAGCUAGAAAAGAGGUUUUUAAAUGUUCCUAACACAAACAUACAAUAAAUGUCUGAGGUGACAGAUAUGCUAAUUACUCUGAUUUGAUCACUACACAUUGUUUCAAAACAUUACUAUGUACUCCAUAAAAAUGUGUCAAUUUUUUAAAAUCUUGUUAAAAAACUGAUUUCAACUUUAUUUUAAAAUAAUUUAGAAGCAUAGUAAUUUCUGGACGUCUAUUUAAUGAAAUGUAAAGAAAGAAUACCAAAUAUCUAACCAUUCAAAGUCAAAAAAUAACAUAGAUCCUACAGAUUGAGUCUAUUUGAAUAGGAGUAAUUUCUAAAAACAAUCAUUAGUUUACUACUUAUUCCUUUGCAUUCAUAUAGUAGCUUCCUAAUACUCAGGUUGAAAACAAGCUUGAUAAGAUCUACUAAUUAAAAUGGUAAAACUGGAACACUGUCCAGUUUUUAAUGUUAAAAUUUAAAAUCCCACAAACUCAAAAUAAAAUUACAAAAAACUAAGGCUGGGUAUACAUUUCUUCAUUUGCUGCUCUGACAUUCAUCAUAAUUAGAUACAGAUAGGAAAUUUUUCAGUCUCUGUAGUACAUACACCAAAUAGACAUGCAACUUGUUGUUGUUGUUCAAGUCUGAAAUUCUCUUUUCAGUUAAUAUAUUUACUGACCUCUUCUGGGACUCUCAUGAUUGAAGAGAAUGCCGUUCACUGCAAAGAGAUUAUACGCCUCACGGAAGUUCACCACAAUCCAAUAGGCAUAGAGUUUUGCUGCCCCUGUUGGAAUAAUUUUUUUUAAGCAAUGAAGUUUGUUGUAAAAGACAGUGAUUCUCACCAUCUUCAACAGUAACAUCUUGGCCGAAAUAAUAACUUGUAAUGCAUCCAAAUACAAAAAAGUAUCAAAACCCAAAGACGAAAUAAAGGUUAUUACACCUGUCAAUCAUGUUCACCAGGAAAUAUUUUAAGAAUUUCUUACUUUUGUAAUGCCAACAGUGCAUUAUUUGACAAUCGAAUUGAUUGAAUCUUUCUUAGAUCUUUUUCUCUCUCAUUCUCUCUCUCUAACUUUUGAGGAAUUAGAAUGGAAAAAAAUGA